UCACGAACUGGAGAGUGGAGAACCCUGAAUCGAAGAAACCCUAGCCGCCUAACCCUCCAUCGUCGCCGCCUAACUCAGGUCCUCAGCGCCACCGCCGUCCCAGGUCCUCAGCAACGCCGCUUCUUCCUCCAUCAUCGCCGCCUAACCCAGGUCCUCCAUCGUCACCGCCUAACCCAGUAACUCGGCAGGUCCUUUUCGGCUCUUCAUCCUCGCUGGCUUCUCGGCACGGACCCAGGCCAUAUACCACUGUCUAUUACUCCAAUAAUUACCUCACUCUCUGCCACAGAGGCAGGUAAAUGGGUACUAAAUCUAUCCAAACUAGCAAGAGUUAGAUCAAAUCCAAGGAAGUAUGGUGUUCUUGUUGUGUGAAGCUCGUAUUUACGCUCCGGUAUGAGCGAAAGGAUUUCUGGUUGCUUCGAGAGCGCCUCGGCUUCUUGGUUAGUUAGCCUUGUUGAGAAGCCAUGAACUACAUGCUUGUAGGUGUAUAGCAUUUCUGCUGAUUCUGAUACUGAUUGCAAUGAUGAUUCAAACCAAUUGUGGUGAUCAUUGAAACUUACUGGCAUGGUGGACUUCUCCAUGUGGACUAUGUAUGUUUUUUUGAAUUGUUCUAUGUUAUUUUUUGCUAUGGUGUGUUUGGCACAGAAAAUCAACAGAAGAGUCUGAAAAAACUUGAAUUUCAGCAUCUUCAUUUUGUGACUGUGUUCUUGCCAACUGAAUCUUUGGUUUGUGUCUUGUUUUUUUUUUUUUUAAUUUGGAUAUGUGGGAAUGUUAAGGUAUUUAUUGUUGUUGAUUUGGAACUCUUGAACUUUUAUAUAUCAUAUGGACAAAGAUUCUUUUACAUGA